GCCAAGGAAAGAUCAUGCAGGCCUGUCCCGGCGGUCCCCCUGCGUGCAUUUUAGAGCGUGCCCACGGAAAGCUGGAAGGAAUGCCAACUUGUCCUGGAAUCGUGAGAACUUCCAAUGACUUGGCAAAUCUCUCUGAAUCACUGACGUUUUGCUGCCACCUCCACCCAUGCCUGUCCCUUGCUUGCUCCCUUGCCGGGUGUCAGUUCGCCAGCCUACGUGCUGAGAAGAAAAGUUAAAAAGGUAUUAAGUUGAUGGCACAACAAUCCCCCGAGUACAUUAGAUUCGCUUUCCUGCCCUCCCCUGCCUGAAUGCAGACCUUGUGCGUCCCCCGUGCACGGAGCGAGCCCGGCGCGGGCAGCCCGAGGAGCAGGCCCGCAGGAAUGCAG